rnacentral:misc_RNA from 1 species
AAGUCGUAACAAGGUUUCCGUAGGUGAACCUGCGGAAGGAUCAUUACAUUCAGUAGCUUGCUACUGGUCGGGAGGCGCUGUAACUCCGCAUAGUAUUCAUUUACUGAUGAGCAGCUGGCCCUCUGUCUGUACCCUUGUCUUUUGCGCACUCAUGUUUCCUCGGCGGGCUUGCCCGCCGACUGGACAAAACUAUAACCUUUUUAAUUUUCAAUCAGCGUCUGAAAAAACUUAAUAAUUACAA